rnacentral:RNase_P_RNA from 1 species
CGAGUUGGCCGGGCGGCCGCGGCGACGGGAACCGGGAUCACAAUCUGCUGGCCCGUUGUCGAGGAAAGUCCGGACUCCACAGAGCAGGGCGGUUGUUAACGGCAACCCGAGGUAACUCGCGGGACAGUGCCACAGAAAAUAGACCGCCGACACGCGAGUGUCGGUGAGGGUGAAACGGUGCGGUAAGAGCGCACCAGCGCCCCGGGUGACCGGGGCGGCUAGGUAAACCCCGCCCGGAGCAAGGUCGAAGGCUGCAUUACUCGUGAAUGCAGCUGCGCAGGCGUUCGAGGGCUGCUCGCCCGAGCUUGCGGGUUGACUGCUCGAGGUACCCGGCGACGGUGUGCCCAGAUGGAUGGUCGCCACUCUGUGCUUCGGCGCGGAGGACAGGAUCCGGCUUACACGCCAACUCGUCCG